ACGAACGCUGGCGGCGUGCUUAAUACAUGCAAGUCGAACGGAAAGGCCCUGCUUUUGUGGGGUGCUCGAGUGGCGAACGGGUGAGUAACACGUGAGUAACCUGCCCUUGACUUUGGGAUAACUUCAGGAAACUGGGGCUAAUACCGGGUAGGAGCUCCUGCUGCAUGGUGGGGGUUGGAAAGUUUCGGCGGUUGGGGAUGGACUCGCGGCUUAUCAGCUUGUUGGUGGGGUAGUGGCUUACCAAGGCUUUGACGGGUAGCCGGCCUGAGAGGGUGACCGGCCACAUUGGGACUGAGAUACGGCCCAGACUCCUACGGGAGGCAGCAGUGGGGAAUAUUGCACAAUGGGCGGAAGCCUGAUGCAGCAACGCCGCGUGCGGGAUGACGGCCUUCGGGUUGUAAACCGCUUUCGCCUGUGACGAAGCGUGAGUGACGGUAAUGGGUAAAGAAGCACCGGCUAACUACGUG
rnacentral:rRNA from 1 species